rnacentral:rRNA from 1 species
CAGGGAAUCUUCCACAAUGGACGCAAGUCUGAUGGAGCAACGCCGCGUGAGUGAAGAAGGCUUUCGGGUCGUAAAACUCUGUUGUUGGAGAAGAAUGGUCGGCAGAGUAACUGUUGUCGGCGUGACGGUAUCCAACCAGAAAGCCACGGCUAACUACGUGCCAGCAGCCGCGGUAAUACGUAGGUGGCAAGCGUUAUCCGGAUUUAUUGGGCGUAAAGCGAGCGCAGGCGGUUUUUUAAGUCUGAUGUGAAAGCCCUCGGCUUAACCGAGGAAGCGCAUCGGAAACUGGGAAACUUGAGUGCAGAAGAGGACAGUGGAACUCCGUGUGUAGCGGUGAAAUGCGUAGAUAUAUGGAAGAACACCAGUGGCGAAGGCGGCUGUCUGGUCUGUAACUGACGCUGAGGCUCGAAAGCAUGGGUAGCGAACAGGAUUAGAUACCCUGGUAGUCCAUGCCGUAAACGAUGAAUGCUAGGUGUUGGAGGGUUUCCGCCCUUGCAGUGCCGCAGCUAACGCAUUAAGCAUUCCGCCUGGGGAGUACGACCGCAAGGUUGAAAC